rnacentral:rRNA from 1 species
AGUGAACGCUGGCGGUAGGCCUAACACAUGCAAGUCGAACGAGUGGCGGACGUGUGAGGCAUAUAGCGGAAUCUACUCUGUCGUGGGGGAUAACGUUGGGAAACUUACGCUAAUACCGCAUACGAUUGAUUGAGCCGAUGUCGGAUUAGCUAGUUGGCGGGGUAAAGGCCCACCAAGGCGACGAUCCGUAGCUGGUCUGAGAGGAUGAUCGGCCACACUGGAACGGGGACACGGUCCAGACUCCUACGGGAGGCAGCAGUGGGGAAUAUUGGACAAUGGGCGCAAGCCUGAUCCAGCCAUACCGCGUGGGUGAAGAAGGCCUUCGGGUGGUAAAGCCCUUUUGUUGGGAAAGCGGUACCCAAAGAAUAAGCACCGGCUAACUUCGUGCCAGCAGCCGCGGUAAUUC